rnacentral:misc_RNA from 1 species
UCGGUUUCAACUAAGGGAGAUCUCUGAAAGCAAAUAAUGUCUCCAUCUUCAAGCUGACUAGCUCGAAAAGUUGAUUUCUUGUCAAUUGGUUCACACAUUACACUUGGCUCAAACUUAAUUUCCUCAUAAAGUUCAAUCUCUUCAUCAGGAGCAUAGCCAGCCAUCUCAUUUAAUUUUGUCAAAAUUUCUGUUGGCUUGUCAUUAGUCUUUACAAAAAGCCUACCAACAUAACGUAGCUCUUCUUUUUCAGGAUCAUAAAGCUUGAAAAAAAGCAAUAUAUCUUCCUUCAUCUUGCAAGGUGGAGAUAUGGGGCAUAAAUCCGGUCCAAGUUCUACUUCCAAGAAAAACUUUAGUUCAGCAUUAUUAACCUUAUUUGACACUUCCCUCAACUGUCCAACAGAUUGGUUUUCCUCUAGUGGUGCCAAUGGCCGAUUAGGACGAUAUGUAUGGUUUUGACGUUUAGCCCACAGCCAAAAGCGUUGAAAUUGUACUGGUAUGCCAAACUCUUUAGCAACUUCUUCCUUAAACAGAUGGAAAGGCGUCUGCUUUUGAACACGAAAAAUCCUGACUUUUUCAUGAUCCACAAGAUCAAAAUAUAUAUUUUUUCCAAUCUGCUUCGCAAGAUCUUCAUCUCGCGCAACCUUUAUUAUAGUGUAAAGGUGAGCCUCAGCCUUUUCUUUCUUCUUGUGCUCUUUCUCUUCCUGUUCUUUCUUCAGUCUCUCCCUAAGAUGUUCCGCAAUAUCCUUCUCGUCUACAUUACAUAUUAUCUUGUCCUUGUCACUUUCCCGUAUAUACACCAGCAUGUACGCAUUUGAAUAUUUGGUAAAUUUAAAGGGAGUGUUGUUGAAUCCAGGAUUUGUUGGUGGUAAUUCUUCUUCUCCACCAUACUGCUCUUCUAAUGC